GAUGAACGCUGGCGGCGUGCCUAAUACAUGCAAGUCGAGCGAACGGACGAGAAGCUUGCUUCUCUGAUGUUAGCGGCGGACGGGUGAGUAACACGUGGAUAACCUACCUAUAAGACUGGGAUAACUUCGGGAAACCGGAGCUAAUACCGGAUGAUAUUUUGAACCGCAUGGUUCAAAAGUGAAAGACGGUCUUGCGGUCACUUAUAGAUGGAUCCGCGCUGCAUUAGCUAGUUGGUAAGGUAGCGGCUUACCAAGGCAACGAUGCAUAGCCGACCUGAGAGGGUGAUAGGCCACACUGGAACUGGGACACGGUCCAGACUCCUACGGGAGGCAGCAGUAGGGAAUCUUCCGCAAUGGGCGAAAGCAUGACGGAGCAGCGCCGCGUGAGUGAUGAAGGUCUUCGGAUCGUAAAACUCUGUUAUUAGGGAAGAACAUAUGUGUAAGUAACUGUGCACAUCUUGACGGUACCUAAUCAGAAAGCCACGGCUAACUACGUG
rnacentral:rRNA from 1 species